UAGCCUACGGGGGGCAGCAGUGAGGAAUAUUGGUCAAUGGGCGGGAGCCUGAACCAGCCAAGCCGCGUGAAGGAAGAAGGCGCCAAGCGUCGUAAACUUCUUUUGUCGGGGAACAAAGGGCGCCACGUGUGGCGUUGUGAGUGUACCCGAAGAAAAAGCAUCGGCUAACUCCGUGCCAGCAGCCGCGGUAAUACGGAGGAUGCGAGCGUUAUCCGGAUUUAUUGGGUUUAAAGGGUGCGUAGGCGGAAUGCCAAGUCAGCGGUAAAAUCGCGGGGCUCAACCUCGCUCCGCCGUUGAAACUGGCG
rnacentral:rRNA from 1 species